AUUGAACGCUGGCGGCAUGCCUUACACAUGCAAGUCGAACGGCAGCACGGGAGCUUGCUCCUGGUGGCGAGUGGCGAACGGGUGAGUAAUAUAUCGGAACGUACCCUAGAGUGGGGAUAACGCAGCGAAAGUUGCGCUAAUACCGCAUACGAUCUACGGAUGAAAGUGGGGGAUCGCAAGACCUCAUGCUCAUGGAGCGGCCGAUAUCUGAUUAGCUAGUUGGUGGGGUAAAGGCCUACCAAGGCAUCGAUCAGUAGCUGGUCUGAGAGGACGACCAGCCACACUGGAACUGAGACACGGUCCAGACUCCUACGGGAGGCAGCAGUGGGGAAUUUUGGACAAUGGGCGCAAGCCUGAUCCAGCAAUGCCGCGUGCAGGAUGAAGGCCU
rnacentral:rRNA from 1 species